UGUCAAAGAUCACAAAAGGGCAGCUAAUGGAGGAGCUUCUCCAUCCAUAUAGUGACUUUUCUUUUACUCUAAGUGAGACUGAAUCCCCGGGAGGGACAGAGCUGAGGAGUGACGUGGUUUAUCUUCUAUCUUAAUAAGAGACUUCCAGCCACCGGUGGAAGUUAAACUGAAGGAACAAGUAUGUCAGUCAUCAGUUCAAAGUGAGAAACUAGGAAAAUGGAUGAGGAAAUGAAUUUUAAGGAAAUGAGUAGAAUUCUACUGGCCACACUAAGGAUGUACUUACGGUCGAUGGUCCUAUUUUAAGAUCUCUUGUCAUGGAUCUCCAUUGGCCAAAGCCAUCAAAGGGUCAAACUAUAAGAGAGUGGAGGGGGCAGAGGGCAAGUAUCCAGCACAGGAGUCCAGUGGGAAAAGCUGAGGCCUUAGAAGGGUUAGCAUCUAUUGACAACAUCGUUCAUUUACUCAUCAAGCAUUUACUGAGGAACUUCUCAGCAGUUAAGAAUCCAUGCUUCCA